rnacentral:rRNA from 1 species
UGACGAGCGGCGGACGGGUGAGUAAUGUCUGGGAAACUGCCUGAUGGAGGGGGAUAACUACUGGAAACGGUAGCUAAUACCGCAUAACGUCUACGGACCAAAGUGGGGGACCUUCGGGCCUCAUGCCAUCAGAUGUGCCCAGAUGGGAUUAGCUAGUAGGUGGGGUAAUGGCUCACCUAGGCGACGAUCCCUAGCUGGUCUGAGAGGAUGACCAGCCACACUGGAACUGAGACACGGUCCAGACUCCUACGGGAGGCAGCAGUGGGGAAUAUUGCACAAUGGGCGCAAGCCUGAUGCAGCCAUGCCGCGUGUGUGAAGAAGGCCUUCGGGUUGUAAAGC